GCUAAAAAUAAAGCCCUCAAAAAACCAAUGAGCCUAUUUAACUUUCUCUUUAAACCAAAACAUUUUUAAAAUUUAGUAAAGGCGAUUAAAAAAUUUACAGGAGCAAUAAGGUACCGCAAGGGAAUAAUGAAAUAAAAAUGAAACAAAUAUUAAGCACAAAACAGUAAAGAUUCACCCUUGUACCUUUUGCAUCAUGGUUUAACAAGUCUAACCAAGCAUAAUGAUUUAUAGUUUGACCCCCCGAAACUAAGUGAGCUACUUCAAAGCAGCUUAUUGAGCAAACCCGUCUCUGUUGCAAAAGAGUGGGAAGACUUUCAAGUAGAGGUGAUAAGCCUAACGAACUUAGUGAUAGCUGGUUAUUCAAAAAAAGGAUUUUAGUCCAACCUAAAGUUUUUAUUAAUCCCAUAAAAUAACAAUACAACUUUAGAGCAAUUCAAAUAAGGUACAGCCUAUUUGAAAAAGGAUACAACCUCAAACAAUGGGUAACAUUUUAACUAUAUAAAUAAGUGGGCCUAAAAGCAGCCACCUUUCAGAUAGCCUUAAAGCUCCUCUAUAUUAGCCUUCCAAUUCCACCAAACAAUUAAAACCCUUCAUUAUUAUUGAAUAAUUCUAUACCAGUAUAGAACUUAUAAUGUUAAAACUAGUAACAAGAAGAAGACCUUCUCUUAAAUGCAAGUGUAAAUCAGAAAGGACACACCACUGAUGAUCAACACCAAUGAAACAAUAUUAGUAACCUAACAAGAAAAACCUAAUAAACUUUAUGUUAACCUAACACAAGAGCAUUAAAAGAAAGAUUUAAAGAAAAAGAAGGAACUCGGCAAAUAAUAACCCCGCCUGUUUACCAAAAACAUCGCCUUUUGAAUAACUAUAAAAGGUCCAGCCUGCCCAGUGAUUUUUUAACGGCCGCGGUAUCUUAACCGCGCGAAGGUAGCAUAAUCAAUUGUUCUUUAAAUGAGGACUUGUAUGAAUGGCAUCACGAAGGUUAUACUGUCUCCUUUUUUUGAUCAGUGAAACUAAUCUCCCCGUGAAAAAGCGGGGGUAAAAAUAUAAGACGAGAAGACCCUAUGGAGCUUUAAACUUAAUAACAAGUGCUUCUUUACACUACUUAUAAACAUUAACCUUUAUUUUGACACUAUGAUUAUUAGUUUUAGGUUGGGGUGACCGCGGAGCAAAAAUUAACCUCCACAUUGAACGGAGAUACUUCUGAGUCAAGAGCUACGACUCUAAACACCAACAAUUUGACAUUAAUUGAUCCAAUAUUUUGAUCAACGAACCAAGUUACCCUAGGGAUAACAGCGCAAUCCACUUCAAGAGAUCCUAUCAAAAAGUGGGCUUACGACCUCGAUGUUGGAUCAGGGUCCCCCAGUGGUGCAGCCGCUACUAAAGGUUCGUUUUUC
rnacentral:rRNA from 1 species